GUUGACCUCGGAUCAGGUAGGGAUACCCGCUGAACUUAAGCAUAUCAAUAAGCGGAGGAAAAGAAACCAACAGGGAUUGCCCUAGUAACGGCGAGUGAAGCGGCAACAGCUCAAAUUUGAAAUCUGGCGCAAGCCCGAGUUGUAAUUUGUAGAGGAUGCUUCUGGG
rnacentral:rRNA from 1 species